AUUAAUUUUCUCACACACGAACGCCGAUCAAUACGGUCCACACGCAUGCAUAUACAUAUAUAAUAGGGGCAAUUGUUUAUAUACCUCUGAAAAGUUUCCGAAUUUUUGAUUUACCCCUCUCAGAAGGCUAAUAUUGAAAAUAUCUUCUUUAUGUUCCAACCUAUUUCUAAUAUACCCCUAGAGUUAAAAUCUGUUAAUUAACUCCGUUAACUCUGUAAAAUUACUAUUUUGUCCUUUCAAAUAUAUCCUUCCACCAUUACUAAUUUUCUUAUUGCCCUUAAAGUCAGUGGCACAAAAGGUAUUUUGACUUUUGGUCUUUUCCAAUAUACCUUUCUACCGUCACCAACAUUUAUUAUUUGCUCUUAAAUUAAGGAAAAAAUUGACAUUUUAAAUUUUUUUAACUGUAGUAGAUGUUUAACUUACGUUUAAUCCAAAUUAAUUUAAUAAGAAAUAACUGCGGGGGUAUUUUAUAAUAACGGUAGAACAUACGAUGAAUAUUUUAGAAAGAAAAAAAAGUAAAAGUAAAUUAGAUAGUUUCAAAUGUACGAACGGUAUAUAGGCAAUUAUCCCUAUAUAAUAUUCA
rnacentral:lncRNA from 1 species